CCUACGGGAGGCAGCAGUAGGGAAUAUUGGUCAAUGGAGGAAACUCUGAAGCAGCAAAGAAGCGUGGAGGAUGAAGGUUUUAGGAGUGGAAACUCCUUUUGUGAGAGAAGAUAAAGACGGUAUGUCACGAAUAAUCACCGGCUAACUCCGUGCCAGCAGGCGAGGCACUGCGGAGGGAGCAAGCGUUACUCGGAUUCACUGGGCGUAAAGCGUGCGCAGGGGGGGUUGUAAGUCAGAUGUGAAAUCCUGUAGCUUAACUACAGAACUGCAUUUGAAACUGUGAGUCAAGAGUGUGGGAGAGGUAGGCGGAAUUCUUGGUGUAGGGGUUAAAUGCUUAGAUAUCAAGAGGAAUACUCAUUGCGAAGGCGACCUACUGGAACAUUACUGACGCUCAUGCACGAAAGCGUGUGGAGCAAACAGGAUUAGAUACCCUAGUAGUC
rnacentral:rRNA from 1 species